rnacentral:lncRNA from 1 species
GCGAGGCGGUUGGUGCGGUUGUUGAAGUCGUGUUUGUGCUGCUCUUUGUUUUAUCGAUUUAACCAGAUUUUACGCUCCGCGCUUUGGUGACGUGCGUGGUCUAAUCGUGUUGUGUACGUCAGCGGCGUGUAACUGGUGAUACAGUAAGCAAAGGACAGUCAUCAACGUGCGCGAUCCGCCGCAAAUCAGCCACGAGGCAUUGCAACGGGCACGUUCAGUGGGCUGCGCGGCCGUUGCAACGAGCUGCAUUGCUGAUUCUUCGCUUGCCUGAGACUGGCAAUUGUCGAGCGGGUUGCAUCCGUUGUUACGUUGGCCGAAGACAGCAGUAAAAGUGAUCUGCAGAUAGCACGAAUGCCAGCAAUCGUGCAAAGUAGGAGUCCAAAGGGGGACAUGGUUGGUGUGGUUGGGUGAAAGAAACGUGUCAUUGUGGUUAAAAAAGAUGAAUCAGUA